GCGGGUGUGUUGUAGUGGGAACAAACGAGUUUUCCAAACUUGGAACGCGGGUUCGAUUCCCGCCACCCGCUCCA
rnacentral:tRNA from 1 species